GAGGCUGAGGCAGGCGGAUCCCCUGAGGUUAGGAGUUCGAGACCAGCCUAGCCAACAUGGCGAAGCACCGUCUCCACUAAAAAUACAAAAAUUAGCCGGACGUGGUGGUAAGUGCCUGUAAUCCCAGCUACUCGGGAGGCUGAGGCACGAGAAUGACUUGAACCCGGGAAGUGGAGAUUGCAGUGAGCAGAGAUCUCGCCACUGCACUCCAGCCUGGAUGAGAGAACGAGACUCCAUCUCAAAAAAACAAAACAAACAAAAGGUGCAAGGAAUACCUCUAAAUUUUGGGUUGCUUUCUGGGUACAAAAACAACUCCAAACUAAUGGCCUGCUACUUAUUUUGCAUUAACAGUAUCAAGUAUCAAGACUCCAGCAAAAGUGGCAGACAGCAUGGGAAUGCUAAAGAGCAUACAAUAUCAAUACAGGAUAGUACUCCAGAAAAUACGUUACCCUGCAUGUGGCGUUCCCUCAAUAGAUGUCUCCCCUCCCCCCAAUUUUUUUUAGCUCUGUGCUUUAGUGGAUACAAAAAUUACUUGCUUUCCCAAAGCCUCCUUUUGAAGAUAGAGCUAGCAUUAGGUUGAUUGCUAAAUUUUCAGGGAUUUUAUGAGCCAGGUCAUAAGCACAACCAUUAUUAGAAAUCAAAUUAUAUAAGCUA
rnacentral:lncRNA from 10 species